rnacentral:lncRNA from 8 species
AUGUUUCAUGACCUGUGGAGAGGUGUUAUUCACCAUGUGGUGAAUGAACACACAUGGACACUAGGACACUGUGAACAUGACUGCAUGGGGGACAACCACACCAGGGAAUGGAUCAAAAAGGGCUCUCACAGACAAGUCCUCAAAACAAGGUGGCUGAAGGAUCUUCAUGAAUACCUGAACUUCAGGCAUCUCCCUGCAGUUACCAAGGUUACCACCUGGUACAUGUUCAGGUGGUGGCUCACCAUUCCGCCGCUGUUAAAUCUCUAGGACAUCAAAAACCAACCCUGGGUCUCGCUGAAACAUCAGCCUCACCACCUCCCUGUUGUCUGCAUCAUCCAGCUCCCUGAGGAGGAAUUCCUGAAUUAACUGAUGCACACAUAGCCUAUUAUCAGUAAGGCAGAAUGGGAUAUUUCUCUCCACACCCAACUAAAGGUAUUUGUCAUUAUAUAUAUAUAUAUAUAUAUAUAUAUAUAUAUAUAUAAGGUCUAGGAUUCAUUCAAAGUGAUCCAAGAUGGCGUAGCAGUCAGACGUCUUUGUACUUCGUCUUGUCGUGUCCCAUGUAUAUAUAUUUUUAUAUAUUUUCUUCGCAUAUCUUUUUUAUAUUUUUCUAAACCUCAACUUCAAAAUACUCUCCUGCAACCCACCUCACCCAAUGUGGUGUGGAUCUGCUUUUUUCUAAAGUAUUUUUCUUUACCUCUGAAUCAGAAUCCCCCAACAGAAGUUAGCCAGCUAACGAGCUACUAGCAAGUAGUCAGCUAACCACUGCUAGCGGUCAUCAGCUACCUUUAGCUCGGAAAGCUCUCGCCGGUUUGUACAACGCGAUUCAAACCAGAGCAUACCGGACCUAUUUUCUCUCCAUAUCUCCGGAUUCCUACCGCAAGCGCUGAACCUUCUCACCUGGAUCAUCGCAGCUAGCUAGCUGCAAUCCGAGUGACUACUCCUGGCUAACGUCUCUGUCCCGAAGCAAGUACCAAUUAGCCUGGAGCUAGCCCAUGCUAGGCCCAUCUCCCGGCUAACUGAAGAGGUCCAUCAGCCACUCCUGGGCUACAAUACCUAUUUUGCCAACUGGCCUGGACCUCUUUUACUGCUUGUACGCCGAUCCUUCAAGACUGGACUACCGACGUAAUCUGCUCGAGGGGGUUACUCAGCUGGCUCAUACAUCGCGACGCCCCGGAAUGUGCAUCUACAAGCCUGCUAGGCGCGGCCCGCUAGCUGUCUAGAGCAUAUUGGACUGUUAGAUGAAUAGAUCCAUUUGCCAAUUGGACUGUCUGAAUCGCAGUGUCUCCAGCCAGCC